GACGAACGCUGGCGGCGUGCUUAACACAUGCAAGUCGAACGGUAAGGCCCCUUCGGGGGUACGACGAGUGGCGAACGGGUGAGUAACACGUGAGCAACCUGCCCUUGACUCUGGAAUAACAGUUGGAAACAGCUGCUAAUACCGGGUAUGACCUGUCAUCGCAUGGUGGUGGGUGGAAAGUUCUGGCGGUCAGGGAUGGGCUCGCGGCCUAUCAGCUAGUUGGUGAGGUAAUGGCUCACCAAGGCUUCGACGGGUAGCCGGCCUGAGAGGGCGACCGGCCACACUGGGACUGAGAUACGGCCCAGACUCCUACGGGAGGCAGCAGUGGGGAAUAUUGCACAAUGGGCGAAAGCCUGAUGCAGCAACGCCGCGUGCGGG
rnacentral:rRNA from 1 species